rnacentral:rRNA from 1 species
CAUUACACAAUACAAGUCGAACGGUGUCUUCGGACACAGUGGCGGACGGGUGAGUAACGCGUGAGAAUCUGCCAUCAGGUCUGGGACAACCACUGGAAACGGUGGCUAAUACCGGAUGUGCCGAGAGGUGAAAGGUUAACUGCCUGUUGAUGAGCUCGCGUCUGAUUAGCUAGUUGGCAGUGUAAUGGACUACCAAGGCGACGAUCAGUAGCUGGUCUGAGAGGAUGAUCAGCCACACUGGGACUGAGACACGGCCCAGACUCCUACGGGAGGCAGCAGUGGGGAAUUUUCCGCAAUGGGCGAAAGCCUGACGGAGCAAUACCGCGUGAGGGAGGAAGGCUCUUGGGUCGUAAACCUCUUUUCUCAGGGAAGAACAAAAUGACGGUACCUGAGGAAUAAGCAUCGGCUAACUCCGUGCCAGCAGCCGCGGUAAUACGGAGGAUGCAAGCGUUAUCCGGAAUGAUUGGGCGUAAAGCGUCCGCAGGUGGUUUAUCAAGUCUGCUGUUAAAUCGUAGGGCUUAACCCUAUAAAGGCAGUGGAAACUGAGAGACUAGAGUACGGUAGGGGUAGCGGGAAUUCCCAGUGUAGCGGUGAAAUGCGUAGAUAUUGGGAAGAACACCAGCGGCGAAAGCGCGCUACUGGGCCGAAACUGACACUCAUGGACGAAAGCUAGGGGAGCGAAAGGGAUUAGAUACCCCUGUAGUCCUAGCUGUAAACGAUGACAACUAGGUGUUGCGCGUAUCGACCCGUGCAGUGCCGUAGCUAACGCGUUAAGUUGUCCGCCUGGGGAGUACGCACGCAAGUGUGAAACUCAAAGAUGACGGGGGGCCCGCACAGCGGUGGAGUUAUGUGUUUAUCGAUGCACGCGAGAUCUUACAGCUUGACUUGUCCCGAUCCCGUGAA